AUAAACUACCACCAACAAAGCAAAAGCUUCCCCGUGAAGUAAUAGAUCCCCAAUUCGCAGCAAACUCUUGUUUCUCAUUUUCGUCGCCAUUGAUCAAGAGCAACACGCAGUAGCGAUUCCACACGACUUACUAGGUGAAAAUGAUAAAGAUUUAAGGAGAAGGUUUUGGAAAAUCAGCAGGGAAUGUGGCUUUUGUCGACUUGGCGAUUUGAUAAGUUACUCAACUUACACCAAGCACCGUAGCAGCAAACCACAAUGGGAAGGAUUUGACUGCAGAACAGCGUCAGGUGCUCAUUGCAAUAAUUCUAGAAAGGGAAAACUGAAUAGGGGUUAAGAAGUGCUGUAGAAGAAAUGGACAACGAAAUGAAGAUCACUAUUACCGGAGUUUCAUCUGCAGCGGUCUUUUUAUCUUCCUUUUACUGUUAAAAACUUCACUUUUAUUUGGAUGUUUAUCUAACCAUGGAUCUCGGAUUUUGUAAUUCUAAACUACAAAGUUUUACCUCGUCUUAUCUCUC